rnacentral:rRNA from 1 species
AUUGAACGCUGGCGGCAGGCCUAACACAUGCAAGUCGAACGAGUGGCGGACGGGUGAGUAAUGUCUGGGCAACUGCCUGAUGGAGGGGGAUAACUACUGGAAACGGUAGCUAAUACCGCAUACCAUCAGAUGUGCCCAGAUGGGAUUAGCUAGUUGGUGGGGUAACGGCUAACCAAGGCGACGAUCCCUAGCUGGUCUGAGAGGAGGACCAGCAACACUGGAACUGAGACACGGUCCAGACCCCUACGGGAGGCAGCAUUGGGGAAUAUUGCACAAGGGGCGCAAGCCUGAUGCAGCCAUGCCGCGGGUAUGAAGAAGGCCUUCGGGUUGUAAAGUACGUUCAGCGGGGAGGCGUUACCCGCAGAAGAAGCACCGGCUAACUCCGUGCCAGCAGCCGCGGUAAUAC